rnacentral:rRNA from 1 species
UAGGGAAUCUUCCGCAAUGGGCGAAAGCCUGACGGAGCAAUGCCGCGUGAGUGAAGAAGGCCUUCGGGUCGUAAAACUCUGUUAUAAGAGAAGAACAAAUUGUAGAGUAACUGCUACAGUCUUGACGGUAUCUUAUCAGAAAGCCACGGCUAACUACGUGCCAGCAGUCGCGGUAAUACGUAGGUGGCAAGCGUUGUCCGGAUUUAUUGGGCGUAAAGGGAGCGCAGGUGGUUUCUUAAGUCUGAUGUGAAAGCCCACGGCUUAACCGUGGAGGGUCAUUGGAAACUGGGAAACUUGAGUACAGAAGAGGAAUGUGGAACUCCAUGUGUAGCGGUGGAAUGCGUAGAUAUAUGGAAGAACACCAGUGGCGAAGGCGACAUUCUGGUCUGUUACUGACACUGAGGCUCGAAAGCGUGGGGAGCAAACAGG